CUUCCUUUUCGCUUUUCUUUGCUUUUCAUCUUCUUUUUCUUUUCUAUCUUUUUCCACUUUUUUUGCUUUUUUGGAGACAACGGCUCUUUCCGAAUAGGGGUUGUUACAACCUCAGCCGGACCCGGAAUUAACCAACCCCAUGAUAUUUUUUAUUCUAGCAACCUCAUUCAGAAUCCUCCCGCCUUUUUUAACUUCGUAACAACCUAGGCAAACUCAUUGGAG
rnacentral:lncRNA from 1 species